AUUGAACGCUGGCGGCAGGCCUAACACAUGCAAGUCGAGCGGUAGCACAGAGAGCUUGCUCUCGGGUGACGAGCGGCGGACGGGUGAGUAAUGUCUGGGAAACUGCCGGAUGGAGGGGGAUAACUACUGGAAACGGUAGCUAAUACCGCAUAACGUCGCAAGCCCAAAGAGGGGGACCUUCGGGCCUCUUGCCAUCAGAUGUGCCCAGAUGGGAUUAGCUAGUAGGUGGGGUAAUGGCUCACCUAGGCGACGAUCCCUCGCUGGUCUGAGAGGAUGACCAUCCACCCAGGAACUGGGACACGGUCCAGACUCCUACGGGAGGCAGCAGGGGGGGAUAUUGCACAAUGGGCGCGAGGCUGAUGCAGCCAUGCCGGGUGUGUGACGAAGGCCUUCGGGUUGGAAAGCACUUUCAGCGAGGAGGAAGGGAUUAAUGUUAAUAACCUUAGUGGUUGACGUUACUCGCAGAAGCAGCACCGGCUAACACCGUGCCAGCCGCCGCGGUAA
rnacentral:rRNA from 1 species